GACGAACGCUGGCGGCGUGCUUAACACAUGCAAGUCGAACGGUAAGGCCCUUCGGGGUACACGAGUGGCGAACGGGUGAGUAACACGUGGGUGAUCUGCCCUGCACUUCGGGAUUAGCCUGGGAAACUGGGUCUAAUAGCGGAUAGGACUCCUGGCUUCAUGGUUGGGGGUGGAAAGCUUUUGCGGUGUGGGAUGGGCCCGCGGCCUAUCAGCUUGUUGGUGGGGUAAUGGCCUACCAAGGCGACGACGGGUAGCCGGCCUGAGAGGGUGACCGGUCACACUGGGACUGAGAUACGGCCCAGACUCCUACGGGAGGCAGCAGUGGGGAAUAUUGCACAAUGGGCGCAAGCCUGAUGCAGCGACGCCGCGUGAGGGAUGACGGCCUUCGGGUUGUAAACCUCUUUCAGCACCGACGAAGCGCAAGUGACGGUAGGUGCAGAAGAAGGACCGGCCAACUACGUGCCAGCCGCCGCCGUAA
rnacentral:rRNA from 1 species